rnacentral:rRNA from 1 species
UACAGAGGUCCCAAGCGUUGUUCGGAUUUACUGGGCGUAAAGGGUGCGUAGGUGGUGAGGUAAGUCUGAUGUGAAAUCUCCGAGCUUAACUCGGAAAUGGCAUUGGAAACUACCUUGCUAGAGGGUUGGAGGGGGGACUGGAAUACUUGGUGUAGCAGUGAAAUGCGUAGAUAUCAAGUGGAACACCAGUGGCGAAGGCGAGUCCCUGGACAACUCCUGACACUGAGGCACAAAAGCUAGGGGAGCAAACAGG